rnacentral:rRNA from 1 species
UACGUAGGGGGCAAGCGUUGUCCGGAAUCAUUGGGCGUAAAGAGCGUGUAGGCGGCCCGGUAAGUCCGCUGUGAAAGUCGAGGGCUCAACCCUCGAAUGCCGGCGGAUACUGUCGGGCUAGAGUCCGGAAGAGGCGAGUGGAAUUCCUGGUGUAGCGGUGAAAUGCGCAGAUAUCAGGAAGAACACCAAUGGCGAAGGCAGCUCUCUGGGACGGUACUGACGCUGAGACGCGAAAGCGUGGGGAGCGAACAGG